rnacentral:rRNA from 1 species
GUAGGUGGCAAGCGUUGUCCGGGAAUUAUUGGGGCGUAAAGCGCGCGCAGGCGGUUUCUUAAGUCUGAUGUGAAAGCCCACGGGCUCAACCGUGGAGGGUCAUUGGAAACUGGGGAACUUGAGUGCAGAAGAGGAAAGUGGAAUUCCACGUGUAGCGGUGAAAUGCGUAGAGAUGUGGAGGAACACCAGUGGCGAAGGCGACUUUCUGGUCUGUAACUGACGCUGAGGCGCGAAAGCGUGGGGAGCAAACAGGAUUAGAUACCCUGGUAGUCCACGCCGUAAACGAUGAGUGCUAAGUGUUAGAGGGUUUCCGCCCUUUAGUGCUGCAGCUAACGCAUUAAGCACUCCGCCUGGGGAGUACGGUCGCAAAGACUG